UCGUACUGCUGGGGUGGCGCGUGGACUCUCCGACCGAGCGAUGCUCAUGCAACACGACGCAAAGGGUUAGUUUGAAUCGGUUCGUGAUCGCGUGUGGACGUGAGAGCUCUCGACGGUGUACCGUCGAUUUGUGCGUUGAGUUGUUUAAAAACUGCAUGCCCAUUCAAGUGCAGCAAAGUGCAACGAAAUACGGCAUUUGAAAAAGGCAAUGUAACCCGCUACCUAGCGAGCAUUUAUGUGAAGUGAAAACUGAGGUGAAAUAUUUAUAGAAAAAAAAACAAGGUCUGAAACCCUUGCAACGCUGGCAAGAAAGCUCAGUAAUGGUAAUAAAUUGGAUUGGUUAAAAUUGAAUGUGGAUAAAUUCGAAGACCCAAAAUUGAUCACACCAUCCUAACGGAAGCAAUGCUGAGAGCUCUCAGCAGUAAGCGAAGACACAUCAAUAAUGCAUGGAUAGUUAGUGAAGCUUGACAGACGAGGAGGUAGUGUUUUUGUGUGGCUAGUGAAAUGUUAGCUAAAAAAGGUUUGUGUUUUCGCCCCGAAGGUUAAAAAAUACCUUAAAUACUGCUAUUUCCCCUUUUGAAAGUGUGUGCAAUUGUAUGGAAAGGGGAAAAGUCAUAAAAUUAAACAUAACCAGUAAUUGAGGAAAGCAACGAAUGCGCCCGUUGGAAGACCAGGUGCAUUAUUAUGCGUGCAAGGUGCCAUUAGCUGUCUGAUCUUGUGUUUUUUCUUCUUCUAAAGUGCGUGUGUGUCUGUGAAUGAGUGUACUGUUUGCAACAGACACCCGCUGAAGGGCGUCUGGGCGUCCGUUUGGGGAGGGUUAAGGGUUAACACCUCCUUUCCCAGCACUAAUCAUCUAAGGGGCAUGCAAAACAGCUCCCAUUCUUUGGCAACUUUGUGAAAACGGCAAGCAAAGCAAACGUAAAAAGUGGUAGCAAAAACAGCCCCUACAGUGUGAAUGAAAACAAAACAACCGAAGAGCGGUGGCCCUUGCAGCAAGUAAAAAAAAAAAAAACAAGCAAGCGAAACAGGGCCGGCAAAACGGUCCGAGCCCUAGGGUCGUGCCUCGCCCAUUAGGAGGUGUACGCGUCUAAUUAAUUGGAUUAAUGAUCAAUUCGUGGUGCGUGGCGGGCAGGUGAAUCCCGCAAGCGUGAAGUGGAGAGCUCCGGCGUGACAGCAUGCAGCACCGUUGGCCUGGCCGUUGAGUAGGAAAAAACGCCAACCAGCUAUCAGCAGCCGUGUUGCUGCAGUGAGCAACGAAAACUAAUAUCAACUACAAAAAAAAAGGAAACCAAGUAUCCCCCGUACGGAUAGGAAACGAAGUUAAAACGGCACGAAAAACAGCAUUUCCCGCCGUGUAGAAAAGGUGAGAUAUACCCGGGGCUUCUCAAAAUGGUUCGAACCUUCUCGUUUGGUCCUCACCACAAGCGGCGUUGCGUAAUCUGCUACGAGGUAAGCACAGAGUGUUGCGCACUGUCGUGGAUAUUUGUACGUUCCACUGGAACCAGUGGACGAUUGAGA